rnacentral:lncRNA from 1 species
CCGUCUUCUCUUUGGCCAGAAUUUUCUCUAGCUCCUCUCUUGAUAUUAUUUUGCCAUGCUGAUAACAAAAUGUUCCGACAAAACCCGGAACAUAAAUCAGUAAAUGAUAGGCUAAUAAAACAUAAUCACUAAAACAGGUAUAUCACUUUUGUAUUUCUGAUUGUAAGUAUUACUGGAAUACGUCCUGAGUAUUCCUGUGUUUAUAAUACAAGUUACCUUUUCAAAAAAAAAAAAAAAACAGGUAUAUCAACUCUAUACACAGCCGAUAACAACUAUACUUGUAGCCUUUUGUUUUUGAGUUAACAUGACAGCUAAAGAAGUAUGCUACAACAUAUUUACCAUACAAACAGUUAUCUCCAACCACCAAACCUAAUCUAGAAUUCUUUUGAUUAGAUUCAUCACAUUCACAAAGCCCAGUAAAGUCAAAUCUUCAUCAAGUGGACCUAUCAGCAAGAUUUGGCUUGACUUAACUGGC